AGAGUUUGAUCCUGGCUCAGGACGAACGCUGGCGGCGUGCUUAACACAUGCAAGUCGAACGGAAAGGCCCUUCGGGGUACUCGAGUGGCGAACGGGUGAGUAACACGUGGGUGAUCUGCCCUGCACUUUGGGAUAAGCCUGGGAAACUGGGUCUAAUACCGAAUAUGACCAUGCGCCUCCUGGUGUGUGGUGGAAAGCUUUUGCGGUGUGGGAUGGGCCCGCGGCCUAUCAGCUUGUUGGUGGGGUAAUGGCCUACCAAGGCGACGACGGGUAGCCGGCCUGAGAGGGUGACCGGCCACACUGGGACUGAGAUACGGCCCAGACUCCUACGGGAGGCAGCAGUGGGGAAUAUUGCACAAUGGGCGCAAGCCUGAUGCAGCGACGCCGCGUGAGGGAUGACGGCCUUCGGGUUGUAAACCUCUUUCAGCACAGACGAAGCGCAAGUGACGGUAUGUGCAGAAGAAGGACCGGCCAACUACGUGCCAGCAGCCGCGGUAAUACGUAGGGUCCGAGCGUUGUCCGGAAUUACUGGGCGUAAAGAGCUCGUAGGUGGUUUGUCGCGUUGUUCGUGAAAACUCACAGCUUAACUGUGGGCGUGCGGGCGAUACGGGCAGACUUGAGUACUGCAGGGGAGACUGGAAUUCCUGGUGUAGCGGUGGAAUGCGCAGAUAUCAGGAGGAACACCGGUGGCGAAGGCGGGUCUCUGGGCAGUAACUGACGCUGAGGAGCGAAAGCGUGGGGAGCGAACAGGAUUAGAUACCCUGGUAGUCCAA
rnacentral:rRNA from 1 species